rnacentral:rRNA from 1 species
AGAGUUUGAUCAUGGCUCAGGACGAACGCUGGCGGCGUGCUUAAUACAUGCAAGUCGAGCGAGGUUACUGUUUUGGAUCCCUUCGGGGUGAAGAAGCUUUAACCUAGCGGCGGACGGGUGAGUAACGCGUGGGUAACCUACCCCAAAGUCCGGGAUAACAGCGGGAAACCGCUGCUAAUACCGGAUGCCUUUACCUUGGGGCAUCUUGAGGUAAAGAAAGGUAACGCUUUGGGAUGGGCCCGCGUCCCAUUAGCUAGUUGGUGAGGUAACGGCUCACCAAGGCGACGAUGGGUAGCCGGCCUGAGAGGGUGGACGGCCACACUGGGACUGAGACACGGCCCAGACUCCUACGGGAGGCAGCAGUAGGGAAUAUUGCGCAAUGGACGGAAGUCUGACGCAGCGACGCCGCGUGAGCGAUGAAGGUCUUCGGAUCGUAAAGCUCUGUCCUUGGGGAAGAAGGCGAAAGCUUGACGGUACCCAAGAAGAAAGCCCCGGCUAACUACGUGCCAGCAGCCGCGGUAAUACGUAGGGGGCGAGCGUUGUCCGGAAUUACUGGGCGUAAAGGGUGCGUAGGCGGCCCUUUAAGUCGGAUGUGAAAGCCCGCGGCUUAACCGCGGAAUGGCAUUCGAAACUGGAGGGCUUGAGUGUCGGAGAGGGUAGUGGAAUUCCCAGUGUAGCGGUGAAAUGCGUAGAUAUUGGGAGGAACACCAGUGGCGAAGGCGACUACCUGGACGAUAACUGACGCUGAGGCACGAAAGCUAGGGGAGCAAACAGGAUUAGAUACCCUGGUAGUCCUAGCCGUAAACGAUGGGUACUAGGUGUGGGUGGUUUCGAUACCAUCCGUGCCGUAGUUAACGCAUUAAGUACCCCGCCUGGGGAGUACGUGCGCAAGCAUGAAACUCAAAUGAAUUGACGG